rnacentral:snRNA from 1 species
AGCUUUGCGCAGUGGCAGUAUCGUAGCCAAUGAGGUUCAUCCCAGGAGCGAUUAUUGCUAAUUGAAGAAAAUAGUUUAUUUGAUCUU